AGUGAACGCUGGCGGUAGGCCUAACACAUGCAAGUCGAACGGCAGCACAGUAAGAGCUUGCUCUUACGGGUGGCGAGUGGCGGACGGGUGAGGAAUACAUCGGAAUCUACUUUUUCGUGGGGGAUAACGUAGGGAAACUUACGCUAAUACCGCAUACGACCUACGGGUGAAAGCAGGGGAUCUUCGGACCUUGCGCGAUUGAAUGAGCCGAUGUCGGAUUAGCUAGCUGGCGGGGUAAAGGCCCACCAAGGCGACGAUCCGUAACUGGUCUGAGAGGAUGAUCAGCCACACUGGAACUGAGACACGGUCCAGACUCCUACGGGAGGCAGCAGUGGGGAAUAUUGGACAAUGGGCGCAAGCCUGAUCCAGCCAUACCGCGUGGGUGAAGAAGGCCUUCGGGUUGUAAAGCCCUUUUGUUGGGAAAGAAAAGCAGCAGGUUAAUACCCCGCUGUUCUGACGGUACCCAAAGAAUAAGCACCGGCUAACUUCGUG
rnacentral:rRNA from 1 species